UACGUAGGGGGCAAGCGUUGUCCGGAUUUAUUGGGCGUAAAGAGCGUGUAGGCGGUUUGGUAGGUCCGCUGUGAAAACUCGAGGCUCAACCUCGAGACGCCGGUGGAAACCAUCAGGCUAGAGUCCGGAAGAGGAGAGUGGAAUUCCUGGUGUAGCGGUGGAAUGCGCAGAUAUCAGGAAGAACACCCGUGGCGAAGGCGGCGCUCUGGAACGCAACUGACGCUGAGACGCGAAAGCGUGGGGAGCAAACAGG
rnacentral:rRNA from 1 species